CCCAAGCACACCUCGUCCCGGGGGCCUGUAGGAAUGUGCCCCUGCUGACAGACUGAACAAGUUCCCCUUUGUCUCCUUAAAAAGGAAAAAAGCCCAGAAGUUUCUCUCCUCAGUUUGGUUAAAAGACACCUCAUAGGACCUUGGGGACUUCACCUCAAAAUUAAGGAUAGUCAACUGGACAGGAGCAAAAAGUCCCACCUGAGCAAUUCACUAGAAAAAGAAGAGAACAAAAGAAGCAAAUCGCUUUUGUGAAGUGUUUUAGCAGGAGCAAGAGCCCCUUGCCCUGACUCUGUUUUUCUCUGUAAAGAGCUUUUUUAGUUUGCCUUUUAUUAAAACUUUUUGUUUCCAACACUGUCACAGGAGCCAUCCUGCUACUUUAUGCCACCUGAGGUAGCUGAGCUAUCAAGGGUAUAACACUUGUCUCUGAGAGCUUGUAAGACCUGGAUUGAAGAGACAAAGUAUUAGGGGCCCUCCUGUUUCCUCAACAGUACAAAUGAUUCCAGGGCAAUUACACACAGAAACCUUGAAAUGAAACGUUUCCCAAUCCAAGGGCACAACAUCUGCAGUCAAAAGGCACCACAGCCUCUCCCUUCCUGUGCAAACAGCAUCCCACAUAGGGAUUAAUCAUCCCUCCGAAAUAGCACCACUGAUUUUAGAGUGGUUGGCACCUCUCCCACCUCCUCCAGAGCAGGGAACUCGACCCUGCUUGAGUCAUCUUCCCAGGAGCUCUCUUCAAGCCUGUACUCAUCACCUCCCAGCCUUACACGAGCUGGAUGUUCCCAACAUUCCGGAGCCAGUUAAAUUCCCAUACAAGCCUCCAAAUUGGUGGCACUGGAAGAAAACACGUGAGGCUUUUCCUUCAGGGUCAGGUGACAACAACUGCACAGCUGAAAUCAGAUCCAGAGCAGCUACCAACAAAAAUUAAAGGUAACCAGUGGGCUUCCUUUAACAAGGAAAAUCCCGUUUGCAGUGGCUGAAAUUCACUCCAGAAGGGUCCCACAGCCAGCCCAGGAUGGAGCAGGCACAGAACCCCUGGCUCAUGGACUCCAGUCCCUGGGAAUGUUCCCCCCUGUGCUGGAUAAAGGCUCGAGCUCAGUUCUGCUUUAGCACAAGAGUGAAAAAUCACAUUUCUCACCCUCCUCAGGGGACUUUUCCAUAAUUAAA